UACGUAGGGUGCAGGCGUUAAUCGGAAUUACUGGGCGUAAAGCGUGCGCAGGCGGUUUGCUAAGACAGGUGUGAAAUCCCCGGGCUUAACCUGGGAACUGCGCUUGUAACUGACAAGCUUGAGUGUGGCAGAGGGGGGUGGAAUUCCACGUGUAGCAGUGAAAUGCGUAGAGAUGUGGAGGAACACCGAUGGCGAAGGCAGCCCCCUGGGCUAACACUGACGCUCAUGCACGAAAGCGUGGGGAGCAAACAGG
rnacentral:rRNA from 1 species